rnacentral:rRNA from 1 species
GGAAUCUUCCACAAUGGGUGAAAACCUGAUGGAGCAAUACCGCGUGAGUGAAGAAGGUCUUCGGAUCGUAAAGCUCUGUUGUUAGAGAAGAAUAAGUCGGGUAGUAACUGCCCCGACCUUGACGGUAUCUAACCAGAAAGUCACGGCUAACUACGUGCCAGCAGCCGCGGUAAUACGUAGGUGACAAGCGUUGUCCGGAUUUAUUGGGCGUAAAGCGAGCGCAGGCGGUCUUUUAAGUCUGAUGUGGAAGCCCACGGCUCAACCGUGGAAGGUCAUUGGAAACUGGAAGACUUGAAUGCAGAAGAGGAAAGUGGAAUUCCAUGUGUAGCGGUGAAAUGCGUAGAUAUAUGGAGGAACACCAGUGGCGAAGGCGACUUUCUGGUCUGUAAUUGACGCUGAGGCUCGAAAGCGUGGGGAGCGAACAGGAUUAGAUACCCUGG